UUGGCCGCUCAUCCCAAAUUUUCAUUUCCCCCCAUUUUCCUCUCAACCCAAAUUUUCAUUCCCCCUCAGCACUCUUGAGGAUUUACAAACUCUAAACACUCUUGGGUCUUCACAAACACCAUGUUUGUAUAACAACUCCCUCUCCGGUAAAGCUCCAUUUGUUUUGUGUUUCUCUUGAUACAAACCCUCUCCACAAAUUCUCUUGAUUGUAACACUUCUGAUUUACCCCUCUCGAUGGUAACAUCUUUGAUUUACAAACUCUGCAGGAUCCAUAGUUCAAGAGUUCUGUACAAAAUCGGGAGCAUUUGAAUUUAAAUGGCGGCCAGAAAGUCAGUGAUAAAGGAGUUGAAGCAAUAACUUAUGCUUGUCUGAAAUCGAAAAGUUUCUCCAUCUAUUGGAAUGUAAGGUAAUACAUGCUUUAUGUUUAUUUGGUUUUUGUGUUUGUAUAAUGGACCUAGUUAGACUAUAAGCUGGUUAUUGUGAUACACUGCAAGAACAUAGUUGAUUUGAACUUGAGUGGCUGCAAGGUAUAUAUGAUCUCUAACUGAAACGGAAUUCCAGUUACAGGAAAGAAUCUUUUUCUUUCGACUACAGCUUCUUUUAUUGCCCACCUUUUCUUAUAUUUAUUCAGACUUUGGAGAGUUCAGACUUUAUUGUGCUGUUUAGCAAUGUGUAUGCCUUUCUGAUAUGUAAUCUGUCUUAAGAGAGUUAUGCUUUAUAGCAAUGUGUAGACACUGAUGGAUGACAAGAAUUCAUUUAUAGCUUACUCCGCGAGUUGCUGGUAUAUGUGUAUGGGCUUUAUAAUCUCAUUCUGAAAUACCAUCUUCUGUUAGAUGCCUUGGCACUACCCCUUUCACUGGUCAGUACAGGAGAUGCGAGGAUCAAGUUUAAAGUAAGUGAGACUUGUUUCUUCUGAAGCUUGACCCGAAUUCCUGGUUUCAAGUGAGAGAGGAUUACGCCGACCAUGUUAAGUUUGGAGGGGAUGUUUGCCAGGAAGUGAUUCUUUCAGUGUCCAGCAAACUAGAAAACAUAGUCAACUUUAUUGCGAGGGAUUAUCAAGCAGACGUUAUCAAGUUCAAGGAGGACUAAACUUGUAGCUCUAAAUCACAGUUCAGCUCUUGUCCACCUCCAUACGUCAGUGCAGAUAUAUCUACUACAGUAGUCGGUACUCUUAAUUUUGCUCUAUAUUAGUGAUGUAUAAACUCAUUUACAGAACUUUAUGCCGUAGAUUUGAAUGCUGAAAGACUUUAUAGGCCUUGUUCAAUCAUUUUACUUGCCACAUGAGUCGUGACUUACAUCCAGACUUACCAUAAGCUAGUCAGUUUGCUCGUUUUGUUUGUUCCUGGGCUUUAAUAGUUUAGCUUUGAGAUCAUGUGUAUCACUAGUUCUCUGUUCUGCAUGAUUAUAUCUUCUGGCUUUAUUUUGUUUUCUUUAAUAACAAAAAAAAAACACUGUGUUACUAUGCAUGCGAAAGUUGUUCAGAUAUGUGGAGUUAAACUUCUUGAAUCUUUAUCUCACCUGACCAUUUUGUGGGUAAUAUAUUAGGUGCGUCAAGCUAACAGAUGGGGGUUUGCAACAGAUAUUAUGCAAAUGUUGUGCUUUCCGGACUCUAAAUCUUUAUGCCGAUACAAGAAAUUCUUCAAUUCUCGUGGCAUUUUUGCGUGCCAGUAGUACUGUUGGUUAUUUCCUCCCAGCAGACUCAGCAACUUUGAGCUUUGCUGGUCAAGCCUAUGAACUCUGCACCCAACUUCUUAGAGUACGAGACAUAUCUUCCGAUAGUUUAGAAAGAUCAUACUCUUGUGUAAACCAAGUAUUAUGACUUUGACAUGAGAUUGUUUUGUAUACGUUUUGAUAUUAAAUUUGUAAUUAUUGUGAUUAAUUUAUGGUUUUUAAGCA